rnacentral:rRNA from 1 species
UACGGGGGGGGCAAGCGUUGUUCGGAAUUACGUGGGCGUAAAGGGCUCGUAGGCGGCCAACUAAGUCAGACGUGAAAUCCCUCGGCUUAACCGGGGAACUGCAUCUGAUACUGGAUGGCUUGAGUUCGGGAGAGGGAUGCGGAAUUCCAGGUGUAGCGGUGAAAUGCGCAGAUAUCAGGAGGAACACCAAUUGCGAAGGCAGCUCGCUGGGACGUUACUGACGCUGAGACGCGAAAGCGUGGGGAGCAAACAGG